rnacentral:rRNA from 1 species
GUAGGGUGCAAGCGUUAAUCGGGAAUUACUGGGGCGUAAAGCGUGCGCAGGCGGUUAUGUAAGACAGUUGUGAAAUCCCCCGGGGCUCAACCUGGGGAACUGCAUCUGUGACUGCAUAGCUAGAGUACGGUAGAGGGGGAUGGAAUUCCGCGUGUAGCAGUGAAAUGCGUAGAUAUGCGGAGGAACACCGAUGGCGAAGGCAAUCCCCUGGACCUGUACUGACGCUCAUGCACGAAAGCGUGGGGAGCAAACAGGAUUAGAUACCCUGGUAGUCCACGCCCUAAACGAUGUCAACUGGUUGUUGGGUCUUCACUGACUCAGUAACGAAGCUAACGCGUGAAGUUGACCGCCUGGGGAGUACGGCCGCAAGGUUG